rnacentral:rRNA from 1 species
AACGCUGGCGGCGCGCUUAACACAUGCAAGUCGAGCGAGAACCGGACCUUCGGGUCCGGGGAAAGCGGCGAACGGGUGAGUAACACGUGGGUAAUCUGCCCUCGGCGCCGGGAUAGCCCGGGGAAACUCGGAUUAAUACCGGAUAGCCUCCGAAGCCUUCGGGCGUCGGAGUAAAGGUGGCUUCGGCAUCUGGAUGAGAAUGAGCACGCGGCGGAUUAGCUUGUUGGUGGGGUAACGGCCUACCAAGGCGACGAUCCGUAGCUGGUCUGAGAGGACGACCAGCCACACUGGGACUGAGACACGGCCCAGACUCCUACGGGAGGCAGCAGUGGGGAAUCUUGCGCAAUGGGCGAAAGCCUGACGCAGCGACGCCGCGUGCGGGAAGAAGGCCUUCGGGUUGUAAACCGCUUUCAGGUGGGACGAAGCUCCUCGGGUGAAUAGCCCAGAGGGUGACGGUACCUCCAGAAGAAGCCCCGGCUAACUACGUGCCAGCCGCCGCGGUAA